UAUUAUUAAAUAUUAAAAAGUCAGUUUUUAUUUAUAAGCAUUUAAAGUUCAAAUAUUGACAAAAUACGGAAAAAUCCCGAAAAUUAGCAAACUAUUUUGAGUUGGAAAUUCAUAAGAAUUUUUCCUUUUAAAUCUAAGAUUUGAAAAUGUAAUACAAGAUUCCUUAUAAUUUUGUCUGCCGUUAUCAAAAAAAAAAACAAAUUAAAUUAAAUUUUUAUGAGCGUUUGAAAUUCAUAUUUCUACAAUACUGGAUCACUCGAUUACUCAUGUAGCGGUUUUGUUAUUUUAUUGUUAUUCAAAAACGAAUAACUGUAGAUACAUGAACAUUUUACUGAAUGUUUAUAUUUUCAUUUUCUAUACACCAUAACAUUUUGAUUCUUUUUGAGCUGUUUACGGACAUUGUCAGUUUUCAAUUUUUUUAGUUUUUUUUUUCUAUAAUAAUUGCCAAUAAAAUUUUAUUUGUUGCAAUGUUCAUUUAUUAUUCAUCAGAACAAAACUUUAUAUUUCAAAACGUCAAAAGAUCCAUCUGUAAAUAAUGUCUAACUAUGACGAACAAGGGCGUCUCGAAAAUAUGUUUGAAAUUCAAGAUGACGCUAUACCGCCUAUACCUCAAAUGCAGUUUCCAUGAUUAUAUUGAGGGCCCAAUUGUUAGUUCAAUUGAUUAUAUUAUGAAGUUGAAAUAUAAUAAAUUAGAUGAAAUGACAGCUGGUGUUCGGCCGCAAAACUAAAGAGCAUUGGCGUUGGAAAAACUCGAUGGAUGGUAUCUCGAUGAUGGAAUACAUUGUCAAAUGUCAAUCAUUAAUCUGGUCACUCGCAAAAUUGAGCAGAGAUUUUAUUGCCAACACAGUUAUUGUCAUUAAAGUCAAAAGUUGUAUUGAUUACUGGAUCUUCUUCAGGAAUUGGUUACGAAAUAACUAUAAGCCUAUAGCAUUAGCUGGAGAAAUAGUGAUUCCACCUGGAAUGAACGAAUUGUUUGAUGGAAUUAUUGGAAUUAUAAAAGAAGAUCUUUUUACUUGGUGUGACCAAAAAAAACACGAGUUUCCCAUAGGUAUAUUAAAUGGAUGUUAAUGAUCCUAUUAAUGUAAAUUUAAUUAUUUAGCUGAUGUUAAUGAUGUUAUAGCUGUUGUGUAUAAUAUAUAGUUAUAAGUACAGUGCUUAGAAAUAUUGAAGAAUCAAUUGGCCCGAUCGAUGUAAUGAUUGUAAAUUUGAUACUUAAUGUAAAAUAGAUGAAUGGGAUGAAAUGGUACGAGUGGAUUGUAAUUGUAUGUUCUUGGAGCUGUUCUUCCUACCAUGACAGUAAGAAAUUCUGGUCAUAUUGUAACAACAGACGCUGGCCGAAGAGUAAGUUGUGUACUCGGAACUUGUAUAGGUGUAAAUGUGUAAAUAUAUGUGUAAAUCUAAAAAUUAAUGACAUUUUAAAAUCAUUUCCUGAAUGGGGUAUAGGUAGGUACACAAAAUGGUAAACAAAAUGUUUUAUGGAGGGGUUAAUUAACUCGCAGGUACACUAAGAACUGAAAUUCAGAGGCAUGUCCAGGAUAAAAAUUCAGGACAGGCCCGGUUAUUAGAAAAAUUUGUACAAUCGAUCAUAAUAAUAUUGACUAACAAUUAUUAAUAUAUUUUGUAUUAUGCUUUUUUAAUUUUUAUGAUAUAAUAUUAUGGCUGUUGACGGUUAGCGGAUACAUGUUUUUUAUAGAAGCGCUUUAGUAUCGCCGAUUAAUUUUCCUUAAGAGGACACCACCCCGCAUGGCCGCAUGUGUUGUCUCCGUCUUACAAGUGCGUAACAUUUUUUUUUAUAUUUAAUUUUAAAACAAGUUGUCAAGUUAUGAAUAUUUUAAAAGGCACAAACAAUUUACAAAUUUUAAGAUACUCAUAAAUGAUAAAAUAAUCCGUUUGACUGAAAAAAAGUUUCUUUUAAUAUUUUUUCAUAGUUUUUUUUUUAGAGUACAGCGAAUAAAAUCAAGUGGUGCAAAGUUUAUACACCUGUGUGGCUGUGUAUUAUGUAUAUACCCACAUAUCAGUGCUGUAUAUAAUAUGUGUAUACACUAUACAAUUACAAUACACCUAUAUUAAUCAAAAUAUUGUAACAAUUUGGUUAUAAUAAUUUAUUUUUUGGUGACGGUUAGAAGGGCAGUAAAGAGCGGAAUUAUUUUAAAAUAUACUCCGAGGCGUCAUACCUAUUCGUUAACACAACACGUUGGUAUUGUCGGAACCAGUCAGCACCGUACAAUAAGACCAAUAAAUAAUUUAUUAUUCGAAGAAAAAAAAAACAAUAUUUCUUAUACGAUGAAGAUAUUAGUUCAUGUAAGUAGCACGUAGGUAUAUAACGUAUAUAAUAAGUAAUAAGGUACAUUAAUACAUUAUCUGCAGUGCUUGAAUUGGAUAAAAAAUAGAUGAGGGAUUAAAAAAUUAUAAACAAAAUUGCGGAAGUAUCCGAAUAUUUAAAUUUCCUAUUAAUAACGGAUAUAAUAAUUAGAAGGAGCACUCCACCUCGCGUCCCUUCGGACCCAUCCAAUUCAACCACUAUAACACUAACACUAUAUAAUAGGACGUGGAUUUUUGCUCGUUCGGACGUGAUGGUUAUUGGAUAUUGCAAAUCUAUAUGAAAUAUUAAAAUAUAAUCUUUGUUUAUUUACACACGUAUAUUAUGUGCCAUGUGCGCCGUAUUCGAUAUUGACAAUUAGUGUAUCAUUUUCAACCGUCGGAUAUUAUUUUGUUCCUCGUCACCUGAAAACACGAUCAGAUCAAUUUGUGCGGUCGUAUUUUACUUGAUGUGGUAUAUAAGCUGCAAACCGUAAAGACUGGAACCUUGAUGAAUAAACCUAACUUAACCGUUUGGAUUUCGGUUACCUAGAUGUUCAAAAUACAAAACUUUUUCCAACAUAGUCUUUAAAGGCUUAAAAAAUGUACAUUACCUAUCGUUAAAAUUGUAAUAUUAAUAUAGGUACCUAACCUACAUAAUAUAGGUAGGUACCAAAAAUC